GAGUGCGUCUGCCGCAGACAUGAGAGGAUCGUUUUAAGUGUGUUCUGUACGAGUGACUCUGUUUUCGGGAUAAAUAACUUGCUGAAGUCCACACGACACUGUUUCCCUGGAGGAGAAGAAGAGUGCGUGGGAAAGCAAAGCCGUGGGCCCGGUGUGGAGGAGUCGAGGCGGAGAAGACAGGCGCAGAGUCCAUGAAUUAAGGUGAGAACCAGCUAGAGAGCGAAGCCAUUGCUAACUGCUAAGCUAACUCUCAGAUUUGAAACACGUGUGAACAACUGUGGGAUUAGAGCGACAGUUGCUAAAAGUAGAAUAAAGCAUCGAGUGCUUUAGCGGAGUUAGUGCAUGUUUAAAUAGGUAUGAACUAAUUAAAUCGAACAGUUUGUUCUCUAAGUUUUUUCAAAAACGUGACUUUUCUGUUUUUUUAAUUUUUGUAGGAAGCUCUGAGGGAAAUGGCCGGCGGAGCGAGGGUAUGAUUAAAGAAGAGCUGUGCUGUUUAAAAUACAUCCUCCAGCUGAUCUUUUUCAUUGUUUUGUUUUCACAGCCGGAUUCCUGUACACAAUGACGCAGUCCCUGCACAUUACGCCGAUAAUCGCUGAAAGUCCGCAUUUGCAGUGUGGAAAAACGACGCCAUUGUACCUGCCUGUACUAUGACUUACUAAGACCCACUAUGAGCCAGUAUGACGGAGCUUCCAGUUCAUCCAUACGGACCUUGCAUCAGCAUUGAGGAGUUCAGGAGUCGGCAGAGAAGAGGCUGAUUGAAGUGGGACAGAUGACAUGGAUCCAUCCUUCCACAGCCAGGAGCUCACCGACCUGUGUGCCACACUUCAAAUAAGACUAGAGGCUACACUGGAUCUCACAGCUACACACCACAGACGUCUACACACUGGGGCAGAUUCAGACAGAGUCCCACAAAGAACAUAUGAACAAGAGGCUGCAAAGAGACAUUUCAAGCUUCACCUGAUUAGCUUUUCACUGGCUAGGCUAGUUGUGUUUGUACAAUAUUUGUGCUGUAUGUAAAUAAAGCUUUGACUCAACAUA